rnacentral:lncRNA from 14 species
UUAUCUUGCCUUAUAUAUCUGUUGCUUCAGAGCCCCUGCCUUCAGCCUUUGAGAUGCCCUUCAUCCUCCCAUGUGGACACCAGCUGCCAGAAGUCACUUACUUCACAUGUCAGCACACACAGGAAUGGCAACAACAUUAUCUUAUUGCUGCUUUGAAGAGAGAAACCAUAACCCUGGCUGGCACCAAAACAGCGAUGAACCGAAAAUCACACAGAUCAGACUUUUUGCUGACAAUAAUUACCAAACAUCUGACCUCAAAAACUGCAUGUGAUUUCCACCUUGCAAUUUCAUCACCCUGCUUAACCACAGGGGCAGUCAAACUUUGGGACCAAACCCCAUGUAUCAAAAGCAUUCCCAUAGGUGACAGCUGCUAGACAUGUAUUACAUCAUUUACACAGGAAAGGAAUGGUGGUAAGUCCCACGGCAAGUGGGAAGCACAAGUUUCAGUGGUCCACCUGCUUCCCACUGCUGGGUCCUGGAUUAUCCAUCUUCAGAGCUAUACCUGAACUGCCUGUAAGCCAAAAAGCCUCAAAGGCUCUUUUAGCUAGGCUUGGUUCAUCUUUCUCUGAAUGACAUGGUGUUCUUUCAUGGCUUUUUGUAUUAUUGACCAUUUCAUUAAUAAAAUCUUAGGUAAAAUUAAUGCUGAUGCCA